rnacentral:rRNA from 1 species
UUAAGCGACUAAGCGUACACGGUGGAUGCCCUGGCAGUCAGAGGCGAUGAAGGACGUGCUAAUCUGCGAAAAGCGUCGGUAAGGUGAUAUGAACCGUUAUAACCGGCGAUGUCCGAAUGGGGAAACCCAGUGCAAUUCGUUGCACUAUCGUUAACUGAAUACAUAGGUUAACGAGGCGAACCGGGGGAACUGAAACAUCUAAGUACCCCGAGGAAAAGAAAUCAACCGAGAUUCCCCCAGUAGCGGCGAGCGAACGGGGAGCAGCCCAGAGUCUGAAUCAGCUUGUGUGUUAGUGGAACGGUCUGGAAAGUCCGACGGUACAGGGUGAUAGUCCCGUACACCAAAAUGCACAGGCUGUGAACUCGAAGAGUAGGGCGGGACACGUGGUAUCCUGUCUGAAUAUGGGGGGACCAUCCUCCAAGGCUAAAUACUCCUGACUGACCGAUAGUGAACCAGUACCGUGAGGGAAAGGCGAAAAGAACCCCGGCGAGGGGAGUGAAAAAGAACCUGAAACCGUGUACGUACAAGCAGUGGGAGCACCUUCGGGUGUGACUGCGUACCUUUUGUAUAAUGGGUCAGCGACUUAUAUUCUGUAGCAAGGUUAACCGUAUAGGGGAGCCGCAGGGAAACCGAGUCUUAACUGGGCGUUAAGUUGCAGGGUAUAGACCCGAAACCCGGUGAUCUAGCCAUGGGCAGGUUGAAGGUUGGGUAACACUAACUGGAGGACCGAACCGACUAAUGUUGAAAAAUUAGCGGAUGACUUGUGGCUGGGGGUGAAAGGCCAAUCAAACCGGGAGAUAGCUGGUUCUCCCCGAAAGCUAUUUAGGUAGCGCCUCGUGAACUCAUCUUCGGGGGUAGAGCACUGUUUCGGCUAGGGGGUCAUCCCGACUUACCAACCCGAUGCAAACUACGAAUACCGAAGAAUGUUAUCACGGGAGACACACGGCGGGUGCUAACGUCCGUCGUGAAGAGGGAAACAACCCAGACCGCCAGCUAAGGUCCCAAAGUCAUGGUUAAGUGGGAAACGAUGUGGGAAGGCACAGACAGCCAGGAUGUUGGCUUAGAAGCAGCCAUCAUUUAAAGAAAGCGUAAUAGCUCACUGGUCGAGUCGGCCUGCGCGGAAGAUGUAACGGGGCUAAACCAUGCACCGAAGCUGCGGCAGCGACACUAUGUGUUGUUGGGUAGGGGAGCGUUCUGUAAGCCUGCGAAGGUGUGCUGUGAGGCAUGCUGGAGGUAUCAGAAGUGCGAAUGCUGACAUAAGUAACGAUAAAGCGGGUGAAAAGCCCGCUCGCCGGAAGACCAAGGGUUCCUGUCCAACGUUAAUCGGGGCAGGGUGAGUCGACCCCUAAGGCGAGGCCGAAAGGCGUAGUCGAUGGGAAACAGGUUAAUAUUCCUGUACUUGGUGUUACUGCGAAGGGGGGACGGAGAAGGCUAUGUUAGCCGGGCGACGGUUGUCCCGGUUUAAGCAUGUAGGCUGAUUGUCCAGGCAAAUCCGGAUAAUCAAGGCUGAGGUGUGAUGACGAGGCACUACGGUGCUGAAGUAACAAAUGCCCUGCUUCCAGGAAAAGCCUCUAAGCAUCAGGUAACAUUAAAUCGUACCCCAAACCGACACAGGUGGUCAGGUAGAGAAUACCAAGGCGCUUGAGAGAACUCGGGUGAAGGAACUAGGCAAAAUGGUGCCGUAACUUCGGGAGAAGGCACGCUGGUGUGUAGGUGAAGUCCCUGCGGAUGGAGCUGAGACCAGUCGAAGAUACCAGCUGGCUGCAACUGUUUAUUAAAAACACAGCACUGUGCAAACACGAAAGUGGACGUAUACGGUGUGACGCCUGCCCGGUGCCGGAAGGUUAAUUGAUGGGGUUAUCCGUAAGGAGAAGCUCUUGAUCGAAGCCCCGGUAAACGGCGGCCGUAACUAUAACGGUCCUAAGGUAGCGAAAUUCCUUGUCGGGUAAGUUCCGACCUGCACGAAUGGCGUAAUGAUGGCCAGGCUGUCUCCACCCGAGACUCAGUGAAAUUGAACUCGCUGUGAAGAUGCAGUGUACCCGCGGCAAGACGGAAAGACCCCGUGAACCUUUACUAUAGCUUGACACUGAACAUUGAGCCUUGAUGUGUAGGAUAGGUGGGAGGCUUUGAAGCGUGGACGCCAGUCUGCGUGGAGCCAACCUUGAAAUACCACCCUUUAAUGUUUGAUGUUCUAACGUUGGCCCCUGACCGGGGUUGCGGACAGUGUCUGGUGGGUAGUUUGACUGGGGCGGUCUCCUCCCAAAGCGUAACGGAGGAGCACGAAGGUUAGCUAAUCCUGGUCGGACAUCAGGAGGUUAGUGCAAUGGCAUAAGCUAGCUUGACUGCGAGCGUGACGGCGCGAGCAGGUGCGAAAGCAGGUCAUAGUGAUCCGGUGGUUCUGAAUGGAAGGGCCAUCGCUCAACGGAUAAAAGGUACUCCGGGGAUAACAGGCUGAUACCGCCCAAGAGUUCAUAUCGACGGCGGUGUUUGGCACCUCGAUGUCGGCUCAUCACAUCCUGGGGCUGAAGUAGGUCCCAAGGGUAUGGCUGUUCGCCAUUUAAAGUGGUACGCGAGC